GGAAAGCUUAGUCCACGGUUUGUUGGCCCUUUCGAGGUAUUGGAGCGUAUCGGACCGGUUGCUUACAGGAUAGCUCUACCCCCGCGACUUGCUGGCAUCCACGAUGUGUUUCACAUCUCAGCAUUGAGAAGAUAUGUUUUCGAUCCCUCUCACGUGACCGACUUCACUCCACUUGAGAUCGGCGAGGAUCUGAGAUACGAGGAGCGACCGUUGCGGAUUCUUGCUCGGGAGACGAAAGAAUUGCGCAAUCGGGUCAUCCCGUAUGUGAAAGUGCAGUGGAGCAAUCACGAGGAGCGGGAGGCGACUUGGGAGCCUGAGACGGUGAUGAGAGAGUCCUACCCCGACCUGUUCGUUACUCCGUGUUGAGGGUGGCUUGGAUGCCACGUGCACCCUUUGCAUGCUUAUCAACAAUUAGGUGGGCAUUGCCUAAUCUUUCUACUUCUCUCUUUGUUCAACCGAAGCAAAGAGCUCGGAGAAGGUAGCCGCGAGCACGAGUUCGACGCCGACGACGCGCCGCGAAGCCGUUCGAGGGUGCGGUUGGGAUCGUAGCGUUACGAGGAAACUAGGCGAGGAUGUGUUUCCGUCGUUCUCGACGCCGUGCCAGAAUUGGAGUCGCUGUUAGAGAAUUUCAGUGUCGACCGUCGGUGUUUCGGCUCGUUUUCCGCGCAGGAGUGUCGAAACGCGACGAAAUUUGGCGUGCUAGAUUCGCGACUUCGAGACGAAGAUUCUGAGCCCAAGAUCGCAAUUUUUGGAGCAGGUUCCAACGUCGACAUUUCGUAUUCUGGCCCGUUCUCUGCGUAGGAGCGUCGGAAUUCAGCGAAACCUGGACCAUUGGAUUCGUGACUUUGAGACGAAGCUUCAGAACCCUUGUUUGCUGAAUUUGGAUAAGCAGGAGAACCGGGGACUUCGACGGACCAGCGAGGGAUCAUUUUGGAUCCGGGCCACUUUCUUCGCUGCCAGGAGUUGCUUGAGAGAGCCCCAGGUUUUGGCUGCUGCACUCUCCGAGACGGAUCGAGGCAAGAGCGUCGCGAGUUAGAGCCCUACCCGACGAGCAGAGCUAGAGGCACCCCUAUUGCAGGUAGACGUUUUGGUUUUCGGGUUCAUGUAUAUAGUAUACUUAACUCGCCAGUGCGAGUAGCUCUGUAUUUUGGAUUUUGGACUAUGUAUGUGAAACUCAGUUUGUUUA